rnacentral:rRNA from 1 species
CAGUAGCCGCGGUAAUACGAAGGGGGCUAGCGUCGUUCGGAUUUACUGGGCGUAAAGGGCGCGUAGGCGGACUGAUAAGUCAGGGGUGAAAUCCCAAGGCUCAACCUUGGAACUGCCUUUGAUACUGUUUGUCUUGAGUUCGAGAGAGGUAAGUGGAACUGCGAGUGUAGAGGUGAAAUUCGUAGAUAUUCGCAAGAACACCAGUGGCGAAGGCGGCUUACUGGCUCGAAACUGACGCUGAGGCGCGAAAGCGUGGGGAGCAAACAGGAUUAGAGACCCCCGUAGUCCCUGUCUCUUAUAC